CUGAUAGCCGGGCCAAACGAUAGCUGCCUUACUGACACUGCGGUGGCCUGACACUGCUUUAUUACAUUUGGGUUCUCAAUCCAGAUCUAGAUCUCACCAUGUCCUGAGAUAUAAGUCCUCUUCGGCCUUCUCCAAAGGACUGGGCAGCAUAUGAGCCGAGCUUCGCCAUCUCCACGGGACUGGGCUGAGCAGGGUUUCUCCUUCUUCAGCAAUAUCUCUGAUUCAAAGGAGCUAGCUACAUAGGGAUUUUUGAGGAUAUAUUCAAUUAUACAAAGGAGCUACACACUUUCCUAGUCAUGGUUCUGGGGUAGUUUAUAAGGGAAUGCUUGACGGUGGUGCAGUUGCUGCGACCGAUUGUUUGAUGAAAAGAAAUCCAGUGAAGGGAUAUUGCUCUGACACACAAGCGGAAAUGGUAGACUGUGGGGGCGAGCUUGUCUUCACAGAUGCACCGCAAAGGUUACUCUUCUUUGGAAAUCUACUUAAUGCGUGUCCUGAUGCAUCUCAUAGACAUGAAUGGAGAAGACGGUAUCAAAUCAUGAACGGAAUUUGUGACGGUUUAUAUUAUCUUCACAUUGUUCAAUUGGAUCUGAAACCUACAAAUAUAUUGCUAGAAAAUUGCGGAUUUUAGUCUCUCGAGGUAUGAAAAACUCACCUGGAUAAUUACUUAAUACCAUAUUGAAAUGAUGCAGGUUUCAUGUGAAUCCGGAAAACUCUUCUUGUAUUAUGUAUGAAUGAUUGUCAAUCGCUUUUCUCAUCGCUGCAAGACUUUCCUUCAUUCCUCAGGAAAUUCUCAAUAUAGAAAACAAUAGGCUCGAACUAGAACAAAUCCUGGGUGUCAUCUCGACGCCUGUUCUGGCUUCCGUCGAUCCAGGUGAUAUACACAAUCAUAUACUUCAUCUGAGGAAUGCAAUCCACAUUCUUGAAAACAGUAAGAUGGCACUGCUGGAAGAACAACAAGAGCUCAUCGUGGCGGCGGCUGUCCAACCGUAGAAAUGAAAAUAGAAAAAGAUAGAACAAUUCACACGACCGAUGACUGAGGCACAGAUCACUCGUAGCCUCGAGUCUUAUAAACUGUUGCUUCUUGGGAAGGUGAUGUUCAUGGAGAACCAUGAGACCACUAUCAAUAGACACUACAUCCCCAUUUCACAGGAUACCAGAGAUGCAUCAAGCGUUGAGGACAUCACACCGAGGGGUUGGGGUUCUGUGAUAUUAACGGCAUUUGCUUCUUCUCGGAUGGAACGAAGUGGUGAUGUGAGAUACGACAAGUUCUCAGGCAGUUCUUCUACAGUUUUUCACAGGCGAGCAUUCCCCCUCUUCACAUAUUUCACAUAUUCUACAGUUUUCUCUUAUAUUCUAGCUUUGUGUCACGAUUUUUUUCGAGUCAUCUGUCCUAUUUGACGUUUUUUCGCUAAUAAUCCAUAUUGCCUUUACCUAUCGCCGAUGUUUCUUGUUUCACUGACCUUGCAAAUCGGCGUGCUUACUUAGGGUUGUGUGUUUAUCUUGAUAUCUUGUUGGGAUAUGUUAGGAAGUUGAUACCUGUGUCACCUUAUGGAUAAUGUUGUUGGAGAUAAUCAUGGCUAGUAAGUUGUUACAACUAAAAUUUUGUGUGGUAUAAUAACCGGUUUUGGUGCAUGGAGCAGUUAUUCAUCUUCAAGGAUAUCUAUGAACCGAAGGAUAAAGUGAUACCCAUGCAACCUAUUGAAGAGUCACUUUGAGGAUGAUGUUUGGGUGACAGAAGGGAUGUGGCUGCACAACCUAAUGAGGGUCAAAUGGGACUACAAUUUUCCUCUCAUUCAGCAAUUCUAUGCCACACUUGUUAUCAAGAAGGUAUCAAGAAGGACGAUGACCGUACUACGAAGUGGAUGACUGGAUCUUCUCCAAGCAGUUGAGCACCACACAUGGACAUCACACUUCUUCUCCUUUCAUCCAGAAGGAGGUGAAGAAGCUGAACUGGUUUCAGAGGAAUGUUUUGUGCAUGAAUGUCGAGAUUUACAAGGAGAACUAUCAGGCCAGCCGUAAGCACGCCAACAUGCAGUAUACUCAGGACACCGAGCGAGAAGACCAUAUACGCAACACAUAAUGGAUAUGCUCGAUGCAACAAACAUGUACACGAGAAUUAGUUUCGCAAGAAAUAAUAGAGCGUUCUGCUUCGAGUAUAUGGAGGGAAGAGUCUUUACAAGUAUAUUUCUGAUGAAUCAAGUGGUUUUGAUUGGCACACACGAUACAAAAUAAUUAAGGAAGAGAAC